rnacentral:lncRNA from 1 species
AAUCGCCCCCCCCCCAAAGGCAUGCUUUAGCCAGUGUAAUCCAGUCAUGCAGGGGCACAGGCUCACUACAUAAAGCCUACACAAAGCAGGCUUUGAACAAAUGCUGAAUUUAGACUGUUAAGUACAGCAAGAAUUUUUGAGUUCUUUUAGAGUUUUAAAAGGAUCCACAGCGUGCACGUGGACACAUUGGUUUUGCUUGUUAACCUGCUCAAAAACUGGGAAAAGCUGAAAAUCUGCAAUGUCCUCCCCACCUUCAGUGCUGUCCUAAGGCCACACUGGAGUGGCAAAAGUGUGGCUACAGCCAGUACAGAAUAGUUAUUGAACCUCGUUCUCCUGGAGGAGAAUGGCCAGAUCAGAAUGGUGGACGCAGGGUCCGUCAAACAUAACCUACCAAAGUCCUCCUCCAGCUCAGUCUCACCCUCUGAUUGGGAGUCUUCAGACUGUGGCUCAGCUUCAUCAGUAUCUUCCUGUCCAUUUUCCUUCCCUCCAUCCUGGAUCAGCCUCAUGGAAACCCGAUCAGGGCUGGUUUCCUCUCUAGCACAUGCCCCUACCCAUGAGUUCUGCUGGCUGUUGGUGAGUCACUGUCUCUGUCAGGUUCAGCUGUGACUGAGCCUUUGGUCUCACCCCAAGGCCCUCUGUCUGCGGUCUGUGAGCUGCAGACUGGGCGAGAAUUUACUCUGCCCUCAGUUCUGCUACAGAUAGAGAAAACCGCCU